GUGCCAGCCGCCGCGGUAAUACGAAUGGGGCAAGCGUUGUUCGGAUUUACUGGGCGUAAAGCGGGCGUAGGCGGCCGGCUAAGUCGGAUGUGAAAUCCCGGGGCUCAACUCCGGAACUGCAUUCGAUAAUGGUCGGCUAGAGUUCGAGAGGGGGAUGCGGAAUUCCGCGUGUAGCAGUGACAUGCGUAGAUAUGCGGAGGAACACCUGAGGCGAAGGCGGCAUCCUGGAUCGACACCGACGCGGAGGCCCGAAAGCGUGGGGAGCGAACAGGAUUAGAUACCCUGGUAUUCCACGCCCUAAACGAUGUCUACUAGCCGUUGCGGGUAUCGACCCCUGCAGUGGCGCAGCUAACGCGAUAAGUAGACCGCCUGGGGAGUACGGCCGCAAGGUUAAAACUCAAAGGAAUUGACGGGG
rnacentral:rRNA from 1 species